AGCUCUGUGCGGUGGCAAAGCUCCACUCUAGUCUGUGAGGUUUGUCCAAGGUGUGAUGACUGCUAAUGGAAAGCUUUUCCCAA
rnacentral:snRNA from 1 species